rnacentral:rRNA from 1 species
AUUGAACGCUGGCGGCAUGCUUUACACAUGCAAGUCGAACGGUAACAGGCCGCAAGGUGCUGACGAGUGGCGAACGGGUGAGUAAUGCAUCGGAACGUGCCCAGUCGUGGGGGAUAACGCAGCGAAAGCUGCGCUAAUACCGCAUACGAUCUAUGGAUGAAAGCGGGGGACCGUAAGGCCUCGCGCGAUUGGAGCGGCUGAUGUCAGAUUAGGUAGUUGGUGGGGUAAAGGCUCACCAAGCCAACGAUCUGUAGCUGGUCUGAGGGGACGACCAGCCACACUGGGACUGAGACACGGCCCAGACUCCUGCGGGAGGCAGCAGUGGGGAAUUUUGAACAAUGGGCGCAAGCCUGAUCCAGCAAGGCCGCGUGCAGGAAGAAGGCCUUCGGGUUGUAAACUGCUUUUGUACGGAACGAGACGGUCCUGGUUAAUACCUGGGGCUAAUGACGGUACCGUAAGAAUAAGCACCGGCUAACUACGUGCCAGCAGCCGCCGCCGUAA